AUAGUUUAAUUUUAAAAUCAUGCUAAGCAUAAAACAAAAACUAAAAAAGAAAUCUAGUGAAAUGAGUUUUAUCUCUGUAGUAGAAGGAAAAUAUUAUUUCAACUGACGUACGGUACGGCUUGGAUAUAUACUAGGUAGGUCUGGGUACGUCAAAAAUUAAGAAGAAAAAACUUGGAUACGUGUUUCGUGUACCCGGUAUGUAUGCAGAAGUACCAUACAAGGUACGGUACGCCGGUAAGUACCCGGCACGGGUACGGCAUGUUUUUCGAAGUACUCAUUGCUUCAUAGUGUCACACAAUGUUGA